CGUCUGAGAAACAAACAAAAACAGCCAAAACUUUCAACAACGGAUCUCUUGGCUCUGGCAUCGAUGAAGAACGCAGCGAGAUGCGAUACGUAAUGCGAAUUGCAGAAUUCAGCGAGUCAUCGAAUCUUUGAACGCACAUUGCGCCCGCCAGCAUUCUGGCGGGCAUGCCUGUCCGAGCGUCAUUUCCCCCCUCAGCGCAA
rnacentral:rRNA from 1 species